AGAGAGAGACAUGCGCGCAUAUCAAUAAGCGGAGGAAAAGAAACUAACAAGGGAUUCCCUUAGUAACGGCGAGUGAAGCGGGAAGAGCUCAAAUUUGAAAUCUUCAAGGUUUUACCUUGACGAAUUGUAGUUUAAAGAAGUGUUUUCUGCUGAAGUUUUGGUAAAAGUUCUUCGGAAUAGGGACAUCAUAGAGGGUGAGAAUCCCGUAUUUGACCAUUAUUUUCAGCUUUGUGAUACACUUUCAAAGAGUCGGAUUGUUUGGGAAUGCAGUCCAAAAUGGGUGGUAAAUUUCAUCUAAAGCUAAAUAUUGGCGAGAGACCGAUAGCGAACAAGUACCGUGAGGGAAAGAUGAAAAGAACUUUGAAAAGAGAGUUAAACAGUACGUGAAAUUGUCAAAAGGGAAGCGUUUGACACCAGUGUUGUUUUCUCGAAAAUCAAUUAAAAAUGGCUCGAUUUUGUAUUGUUGAGACCUUAAAAGCUCACUGUACAUUUUUCGUGUCUUUUUUAAUGCACUUUUCGUUUAACAAGUCAACAUCAGUUUCUUUUGUUGUAAAAGGGUCAUUGGAAGGUGGCUUUCUUUUCGGAGAAAGUGUUUAUAGCCUUUGGCCUCUGCAAUCGGAGAGACUGAGGUCUGCAGCGUAGACUCUUCGGGGUUAGAUACAUUUGUGCUAAGUUAUAGCUUUUUAUAGACAACUUGUUGACUAUAAUUAGUCUUGUAGCUUACUCGCUUAUGCUAUUUUACCUACGCUUAGGAUGUUGAAGAUGUAGCACAUCAU
rnacentral:rRNA from 1 species